rnacentral:tmRNA from 1 species
GGGGGUGAUUCGGAUUCGACUUGUGAUUGCAGAGUAUAAUUGCAUGCGGAGGGUGUCAGGUGGCCUCCUAAAAACCUGGCAAACACAUAAAUGCUGACAAAGGUAAAAUUAUACCCUUUGAGAAUAUUGUGCCAGCCAUUAAGGCUCCAUCAAUUAAUCUUGGGGUGUUAGCUAACGCUGCUUAAUUAAGUAGCUCGUCUAUGGUGAUGUGCCUGUUCAUUAUUAUAGACGCCGAUUAAUAGGCUAGUUUCUCAUUAUGCGGCGGGGUGAGAAGCGAACUUUACGCUGCUGAUCUCCUUUAAGGUUUUUCUAUUAUCCUUUGGGAGAUGAGAACUAAAGAUAGAAUAAGCAUGUAGACGUUAUAUUCGAGCCGCUCAAGGACGCGGGUUCAACUCCCGCCACCUCCACCA